UACUACCCUGUGACAGUAAUAUUCUUCACUAAGUUUGUUUUCUAUACUAUUUCAUUUUUUCUGACAGUUCCUUUCUCCCCAUCCCUACUCCUUAUAGGUAUAUUUGGCCCGAAAGGAAGGAUCAUCUUUUGCUUAUAUUUCCUGGAAGUUUGAGUGUGGGUCAGUUGGCCUAAAAGUAGAUAGCAUUUCUAUUAGAACAAGUAGUCAAACUUUUCAGACUGGAACAGUAGAAUGGAAAUUGCGAUCUGAUACAGCACAAGUAGAACUGACAGGCAUAACAGUCUUCACUCCUAUGCUGAUUUUUCUGGUGCCACUGAAGUUAUUUUGGAAGCAGAAUUAAGCAGAGGAGAUGGUGAUGUCGCUUGGCAACACACCCAGCUGUUUAGACAAAGCUUAAAUGACCAUGAAGAAAAUUGUUUGGAGAUAAUUAUAAAAUUCAGUGACCUUUGAGAACCUGAACAUUAUAGAAAAGCUGGCAAUAAUCAAGGACUUACUGAAGUAGUCUGUUGGUUCAGUGCAUGCU
rnacentral:lncRNA from 1 species